UGAUUGAUGUUUUGUUUUUUUUUCAUUUGUGGUUUUGUUACUUUUUGUUGUUACAACUUGUUUUUCAUGUGACAAUCUACUCUGACUCAAAAAUGCUGAAAAAUGUGGACCAAUCAAUCACUGCAAAAGUACUGUUUAGAAAUUAAGCUAGGAAAUUUAAAAUAUGUAUUUAACAGCAUUUGGCAAUGUCAGAAUUGAAUUCUGUGUAUUCUUCAGAUUUUGCUUUCUUUUUAUACAUUUUGUUCACAUCAAAACUCUGAAAACCACAGAAUUCAUCCUGUGUAAGACUACCAUAUUGACAUGAUUUGAGUUACAAAUUUGUAUUUAUUGCAUGAUUAACUGCAAUAUGAAGUCAUGUUUAAUAGGUGUUAGGUUUCUUACAGUUUGACUAACAAUUAGCCAAAAAUAUUGCUGGACACCAGUUGACAUUCAUAGCAUUUCAAAUUGUGUGGCAAUGAGGUUGCAAGUAUCCCAGUACUGAAAGCUAAUUUGCCUUAUUUUACAUGUUAAAGCUACCAUCCAUAAGAUUUUUUUUCACCAGUAGAUGGCAGAUGUGAAACCUGUCCUCACCUCCCCUCACCUGUCCUCUCUCGUCGUCUUCUGCCUGGCCAAAACUGGCACUAUCAAACAGCAUUAACGUAGAUGGCAUCUAGUGGUGUUAUGUGAGAAAGCGACAUGGCUGGUUCGGCCAAUCUAAUUAUAGAUGGUAGCUUUAAAGACAAAAGACAAAAGAUUUAGAAUAUUUAAUUUGGACCACGCAGACAGGCAUUUGUGUGGUCCCAUGUUUUUUGUGUCACAGGUGAAUUGAUUAAUCAGAUUAAUCAGAUGGACUAUUAUAUUAUCUGGUCCUUGGUAGCAAUAUGAUUGAUCUAAGUUAUUCAGACAAUCUCAUUACAUUGUAAAGUAGUUUAGUCUAAACUAUGUGAUUAGACAAAGCUUGGAUCUUUGAAUGUCUUUAGCUUGUUCAUCUUGGAGUCUAGCUGGUAGUUUUGUUGCAUGUGUUAAAGUGCAUAUGACAGGUUUUAUCCAAUUAUAAUUAUGACUUGGUUUGGUGGGAUAGUACCUGUGGUAAAUAUUUAUCAUAGUUUGACAUCACUUAAGUGGCAGUUUGUGAAGAAAGGUUAAGAACAAAAAUACAGGAAGUAGCAAUGAGUUCCUAACGGAGCCACUUUACCUAUGUAAUCAGCACAAAAAAUGCAUUUUUCUGACAGUUUAAACAGUGAUUUAACAAAAUAAAGGUGUUUUUAAUUUCUUUUUUACUGGAAUUACCUCUACUUAUGCCACAUCUGCUGCCCACGUCCAACCAGGAAGUAAAAUGAUAAACUUCACCAGGAUUAAAAACUAGAUAAAACUUUGUCAAAUCUUAAACAUAAUGAUGCAUAUGAUGCUUUUAGUGAAAAGGUACUCUAGCCUGUCAUAUGCACUUCAACAAAGCAGAAGUCAAUGCCACUCGAUUAUUUCUUAUGACAUGACAGCAAGUGCUUUGUCCUGUGUGUGCGUACAGUUCUUUUCCAUAUCAAAAACGUGUGUGUACGUCAUCCUUUACGACGGCCUUGGAUCGACCAAACGCUCUUGUGCUAGCGGGGACGGCUUGAUACUUGAAUUUAUUUAUUUUACUUACGAGCCGAGUUUUGUCCGAAUCCAAAUGUGAGGAGAGCUGCUGCUGCUGUCUCUAAGGAAAGAAUCAAAAAACAUGUUUGUCUUAUCGUGUCAAUGGAUGAUGUCUCUGAUUUUACUUUUAGACCC
ensembl:lncRNA